UAGAGAAAGAGAGCUUCUGAUUGGAGAAAGAGAUUCUGACCUCCCGCCUUCAGUAACAAGGAUUCAUCCUGUUGUUGUAUUCUGAACUAGCAGGGAAUCUCUGUUACUGGGGGUGAGGGUACAGAGAGCUCACACAAACACAUUCCGUCACACACACGAAGACGCACACACAGACACACACGUUUGUUAUUUUACUGCUUACACUUCUCCUGUACUGUGCUAUGUAUGUACGGUAUCUAAUUUGAUUAAAGAUGUGAGAAGAUGUUCUUGACUUCUGGGGUCUGUAUUACUAACUAGACUAUUAUUGUGUGAGAAAUUGCUUGACUCAGUGUUAAGGUUCUGAAGGGAGACCGUAUUGACUCAGUGUAUAGGUUUUUCAGGGAGUCAGUAUUGACUCAGUGUUAAGGUUUUGAAGGGAGACAGUAUUGACUCAGUGUUAAGGUUUUGAAGGGAGACAGUACUGACUCAGUGUAUAGGUUUUUCAGGGAGUCAGUAUUGACUCAGUGUGGAGGUUUUGAAGGGAGACAGUAUUGACUCUGUGUAGAGGUUUUUUUGGGGAGUCAGUAUUGACUCAGUGUGGAGGUUUUUCAGGGAGUCCGUAUUGACUUAGUGUAGAGGCUUCAGUGUAGAGGUUUUGCGGGGAGACAGUAUUGACUCAGUGUAGAGGUUUUUCAGGGAGACAGUAUUGACUGUGUAGAGGUUUUUCAGGGAGUCCGUAUUGACUUAGUGUAGAGGUUUCAGUGUAGAGGUUUUGCGGGGAGACAGUAUUGACUCAGUGUAGAGGUUUUUCAGGGACACAGUAUUGACUGUGUAGAGGUUUUUCAGGGAGUCAGUAUUGACUCAGUGUAGAGGUUUUUCAGGGAGACAGUAUUGACUCUGUGUAGAGGCUUUUCGGGGAGUCAGUAUUGACUCAGUGUAGGGGUUUUUCAGGGAGUCAGUAUUGACUCAGUGUUAAGGUUUUGAAGGGAGUCAGUAUUGACUCUGUGUAGAGGUUUUUCAGGGAGACAGUAUUGACUCCGUGUAGAGAUUUUUCAGGGAGUCAGUAUUAACUCAGUGUUAUUAAGGUUUUGAAGGGAGACAGUAUUGACUCAGUGUAGAGGUUUUGCAGGGAGACAGUAUUGACUCAGUGAAGAUGUUUUGCAGGGAGACAGUAUUGACUCAGUGAAGAUGUUUUGCAGGGAGACAGUAUUAACUCAGUGUAGAGGUUUUUCAGGGAGACAGUAUUGACUCAGUGAAGAUGUUUUGCAGGGAGACAGUAUUGACUCAGUGAAGAUGUUUUGCAGGGAGACAGUAUUAACUCAGUGUAGAGGUUUUUCAGGGAGACAGUAUUGACUCAGUGAAGAUGUUUUGCAGGGAGACAGUAUUGACUCAGUGAAGAUGUUUUUCAGGGAGACAGUAUUAACUCAGUGUAGAGGUUUUUCAGGGAGACAGUAUUGACUCAGUGAAGAUGUUUUGCAGGGAGACAGUAUUGACUCAGUGAAGAUGUUUUGCAGGGAGACAGUAUUAACUCAGUGUAGAGGUUUUUCAGGGAGACAGUAUUGACUCAGUGAAGAUGUUUUGCAGGGAGACAGUAUUGACUCAGUGAAGAUGUUUUUCAGGGAGUCAGUAUUGACUCAGUGUAGAGGUUUUUCAGGGAGACAGUAUUGACUCAGUGAAGAUGUUUUGCAGGGAGACAGUAUUGACUCAGUGAAGAUGUUUUUCAGGGAGUCAGUAUUGACUCAGUGUAGAGUUUUUUCAGGGAGACAGUAUUGACUCAGUGAAGAUGUUUUGCAGGGAGACAGUAUUGACUCAGUGUAGAGUUUUUUUCAGGGAGACAGUAUUGACUCAGUGAAGAUGUUUUGCAGGGACAGUAUUGCAAUUUUCCUGUAUGUGUUUUUACAUUUCCCUCCUCUGAAAUAAAUAAAUAUUGUGUUUAUCAACACUGAAUCACCA